rnacentral:lncRNA from 1 species
AUUUUUAAUGUACUUACUGUUUCUGCAUGGGUUGGUGGUUGUGGGCAGUGAAUGAAACCCUCCUGUGGCUAUGGGAGCUAUGGGGUGUGGGAGGCAGAUGGUUCACAACCCUGUGCAGGCUGUAGGAUGAACUGGUCGUCAGGGUUGGCUGAGUUUGUGCAGAGCAGUUUAGGGCAGUGGGUCACCAUUCCCUGAUGAGUGAGGUGCAUGGGGGAGCCCUGAUGGGAUUUGCUUGUCUUGGGGCGCCUGUGCUGGCUGGCAGUAGGGGUAGCUCUGCAUCAGGUUGGUCCGAGAAAUGCCCUUAGACUGACUGGGGACACCUCCAGAGGCAGCAGGAGCACGAGGGAGAGCAUCCUGGGAGGAGGUGGAGGGGCUGAAAGCAGGAAGGUAGGGGCCGUUUUCCUAGUGCAGGUAGGACAAGGAGUAGCAGAGGUCUGGGAGCAAGUGAGGAAAAGAAGGAGUUGUUGUGUGAUGCCAAACAGCUGGACCUUUUGUCCCAUGAGGUCCAGCUGUAAGAAACAAGGAAGAAGCAUUAAAAAAUUUCUGGAUUUCUGUUUGUUUCUGUGGGUGCCAAAAACUUUUCCUGUCUUUAUCUUCUUAUCAAAAGCUCCUCAUCUUCUGUCUGUGGUGUGGCAAGCCAAAGACUAUCAUCUGGGCUAUGCUUUUAACAGGUUUUUAUAAAUGGCCUCAAAAGCAUUUGCAUUACACAUGUCCAAAUAGUAAGCAGCUAAUCUAUCCCUUAGUUUGCUCUAUAUGAUCUUACUUAAUGCCGUCUGUGCUAGAAAUCUGAUGUGAGUGGGAGAUUUCCAUUAUGUGGUGGAUUUCUCUCCUCUUCCCCAGGAAGGCAGCAGCAGGCGUCCUAGGUGCUCUGAAAGGAAACCUUUUCUGUUCCAAACCCAUGAUCUUCACUGUCUUGCCUUGGCAGAACUCCCUGUUGUGUAGCCCGGGAAUUGAUAUUGGCACAUUUGCUAUCAUACAGGUAAAUCUGAUUCGUGAAAACUAAAACCAGAGAAACUCGCCUCUCUGUGAAGUGAUUUCAGACAAAUGAUAAUUCUUUAACUUCCAUGUCAAUGUGACAGGCUUAAAGCUGAAGCAUUUAGUAUCUUUUGCAAAAUGAGCCCAAGGUAGUAUAUGUAAUGUAACUGAUUUCAGUGUCUUCUGGACAUGUGGAGCACUGGACUGUUAAUUCUGUAUACAGGUGUGUUUAUGCAACGGUGUUCAACAAUUGUCUUCUAAUUCAUGCUCAAGUCUUGUGUGGUAUCUAAAAGUACGUAGGGAAACAGAUCUCAGCAAAUAUUUUCAUCAUGUUUUAUUUAAAAACAAAAUUACCUAUAUUCUUAUUGAGAAAUAAUGCAGCAGUAUUAAAAUCACAGCCUGUUGUGAAAGGAGAUUUAAUUUGUAUCAUACUGGUGUCUAAACUCCAAGUUGGCGUGCCUCUCUGUGAAGUAGAGGGAAGUCUGUUCUCCAUAGAGCUUACAGGCAGAAAUGCAAAGUUUAUGAAACAACUGGAGAAGAUACCAAGAGCACGCCUUUGUGUAACACACACCUUAUCCAGGGUGCUUGUGAGCCAGUGCUAAACCUGGGGGUGUGAUUUCAUUCACCCUUAAUCAAAGGUGUACUGACAGAACUUGCCACCUGCUGCUGCUCCAUAGCCUUCAUACCCAGCUUUGUCCUCAUAACCAAUGUAAUGAAAAUACCCAGUUCCAUAUUUCAAUUCUGAAAUUGAAAAUAUUGGCAGUGAGAUGACUGAUACAAUGCAUCACUUGUUCCUGGGAGCAUGUUUGUAUUUUGAUGGGAGAUGAAAAAACAUUGAACCCAGAAAUCUCAGACUGCCUUGUAGACUUGUGAGAUGUGCCUGUUUGCUCUGUGUUAUUUGGACUAUCAAAUAAAGAAAGAAAAUUCUGAGUUUUCUUAGUUUUGCUCUUGUUCGUUAGCAUAAAUCAUGGCAACAGCAUACACUGAGAUUUGGGAAAUUUCACUGUCAUUAAAUACAUUCUUUUCCAUAAAGUACUUGAAAAAAAAAAAUCCUAGUUUAGUGUUUUUCACAGAAUAAACAGACUGGCAGAAAAACUUCCUGUGGUUCAAGAAUUUGACACUUCUUAAGGAAGUUCUGAAGUUCUGGUAGAGAGCACUGCCUGUUGUGGAAUACUUUUUGUUCAGGCUGACAUAGUCAGUCUUUCAACACUCAGACUUUUUAAAUUUAGUUGUGGAACCCAGGUUAUUUUUAAACAGGAAAAAAAUUCACCAGGUCAUGUACUGCCACUGAGAUAAAAUCAAAAAACUGCAAGAACAAAAGACCCAAAUCCCUCCCCCCCCACCAAAAAAAA